rnacentral:rRNA from 1 species
GACGAACGCUGGCGGCGUGCUUAACACAUGCAAGUCGAACGGAAAGGCCCUGCUUUUGUGGGGUGCUCGAGUGGCGAACGGGUGAGUAACACGUGAGUAACCUGCCCUUGACUUUGGGAUAACUUCAGGAAACUGGGGCUAAUACCGGAUAGGAGCUCCUGCUGCAUGGUGGUGGUUGGAAAGUUUCGGCGGUUGGGGCUGGACUCGCGGCUUAUCAGCUUGUUGGUGGGGUAGUGGCUUACCAAGGCUUUGACGGGUAGCCGGCCUGAGAGGGUGACCGGCCACAAUGGGACUGAGAUACGGCCCAGACUCGUACGGGAGGCAGCAGUGGGGAAUAUUGCACAAUGGGCGGAAGCCUGAUGCAGCAACGCCGCGUGCGGGAUGACGGCCUUCGGGUUGUAAACCGAUUUCGCCUGUGACGAAGCGUGAGUGACGGUAAUAGGUAAAGAAGCACCGGCUAACUACGUG